CGGCAGCCACAGAACCCAACCAAGCAACGAACAGCAGCAUGUUGAGGGGUCGCAGCAGCGGAAGCCGCUCGCCACCAGCUCCAAUCGGGAGGCUUACAGAGCGAUCGGCGGCGGCGAACUCCCGGCGUUCCGCAAACCGGCACGGCACUCCCAGUAUGGCGGCGGUACCGCGAUACCUCCAAGUACUUCCGGGGAAUUCCUCACGCAGCCAGGGCAAGCCGGAAACAGAAGGGCGUCAAGUACCCCAGCCUGCCGGAGGCGGAAGUCGCUACGCAGGGCGCCGCCAUGACUGGGCCUGAUGGGAAGGGACCUUCCUGUCUGCUUUGCGACCGACCGAAACUAGAAGUCAAGGAGGCUGGGCUGGGCGCCGCCAUGACAACUUGAUAUCGGAAAAGGCGGGACUAUUCUCCCUCAUUGAUCCUCCUCCAGCAUCGGCCUCAGAAUGCAGGCAGCCCUGGAGAUCACUGCUCGCUACUGCGGCCGGGAGCUGGAGCAGUAUGGCCAGUGUGUGGCAGCCAAGCCGGAGUCAUGGCAGCGAGACUGUCACCACCUUAAGAUGAGCAUUGCCCAGUGCACGUCCGCCCACCCAAUCAUCCGUCAGAUCCGCCAGGCCUGUUUGGAGCCUUUCAAGGCCUUUGAGGAAUGUCUUCGACAGAAUGAAGCCGCCGUGGGCAACUGUGCGGAGCACGUGCGCCGAUUCCUGCAGUGUGCGGAGCAGGUGCAGCCGACACACAGACCCUCCACCUUGGAGAACAAUUUGAGAAAAAAUUGCAAACAUCAUGGCCCUUUACUCCUUAUGUGAUACAAAGUGCACUCGUGGCAGUGAAAAAUUCAGUGGUGGGGUCCUCCAUAGGCUGGAAUGAUGGUAAGACACGGCAACAGUGAACUGGACUCCCUGGUGUUACUGGAAAUAAUGAGAUUCUGAAAUAGCAGAGGCAGGUGGGAGCACUUAACCAUCAGAGGCAGGGUGGACAUAAUUACUGGAAUGGGCAGCAAUCUUGGAGUGGCAACCAGGGUGUCUUGAUAUACAGAGACCUGGGGCAAUGGCUAAUGAUCCAUAAUUCUUUGGGGAAGAGAUAUGAUGGCAUCUGAAUAUUGUUUGAUUGUAUAACCAGAAAACAUGGACAGCUGGAAUGCAAAAGCCUGGUGCCCUUCACUUCAGUGGAAAAUUACAAGUCCUCACCCAGUUUCUGGAUGAGUCAGUUUUUACACUGACAGACAUGCAUUCCAGUUCCCUGUGAGGAAGGAGUUGGGAAGGCCACUGCAGAAAUGUAUAGUGUUUCUUUAGUUUUUUCUUAAACAGACCUGUGGCUGUUUUCUGGAGAAACUGUCCACCACAGAAGAGAGAAUACAGAGACUUCUUAUAGGUGGCAAGGCCAGCAGAAUACAUUGACUGUCCUGCCCCAGUGCUGCGUUAACUCUCCUGCUUUCUGUUACAACAUAAUCCACAGGGAUCUUGAUCAUCUUGAUAUUCUACAGAACAUGAUACUAAUUGAAUUUUGUUGAACAAAAUAUGUGCCUGGUUACCCAUGCUGACCCCAUAACAAGCACCAUGCCAACAGGCCCAGCGGCCAUAGGAACAUCAACAAGCAAGGAGGUAACUUCGAGGAUGACUUCACUGGAAAAGUAAACACACACCCUGAGGGGAAGGAGACCAGAGUGUUCACAGCUGGGCGGGGCUGGGGAUGCUGCUCUGGAGAGUGCAGGGAGGGAAGGGAGGAUGGAUGGAUGGAGAGUGGACUUGGUCUAGAUUGGAAGGGACGGUGUGAAGGAAAAGACAGAUUUGUGCAGGAAUUACAAGAGCCAGAAGGGGGAAAAAAAAAAAAUUAACUGCUGAGGAUGACAGUCAAAAGGUCUCAUUCUUACUGCAAAUUCAGAGAUGCUAAAGAGGGAGGUCGUUAUUGAUGAAGGAGAUGUAGGUGGGCUAUUAGGCCACUGACCACAUGUGACCCGAAGGAGAUCUGAAAUAUCCUGAACCUUGAAACUGGCAUUUUCUCUCACAGGCUCACAGGUGGGCAUCUAAAUGGUAGUUUGGCAAUACCAUAUAAAUGAGAACAUUCAUGUAGCCUAUGACCCAGCUACUCCACCUGUGCUAGACUACACACACACACACACACACACACAUUAUGAUCUAUUGUUACUCAGCUUUUAAAAGAAUCAAGGAGUUCCAUAUCCAGGUGGUGCUAGUGGUAAAGAACUCACCUGCCAAUGCAGGAGAUGCAAGAAACAUGGGUUCAAUCCCUGGGUCAGAAAGAUUCCCUGGAGUAGGAAAUGGCAACCCACUCCAGUAUUUCUGCCUGGAAAAUCCCACGGACAGAGGAGCCUGGUGGGCUACCGUCCAUAGGGUUGCAAAGAGUUGGACACAACUGAGCACACAUACAUAUGUGAUGACAUGCAGAGGUUAUCUAAAUAUGUUAAGUGAAAAGAGCCAGUUGUAUAACUGUGUGUGGUAGGAUUUCAUUUUAUGAAAAAGAGAAAAAUGGGGGAAUUCCCUGGUGGUUUAGUGGUUAGGACUAGGCAUUUUCACUGCUCAGGGCCUGGGAUCAAACCCUUGGUUGGAGAACUAAGAUCCCACAAGCUGCAUGGAAAAAAAAAAAAGAAAAAAAAAGGUAUAUAUUUUAUA